GACGGAGGAUGCAAGUGUUAUCCGGAAUCACUGGGCGUAAAGCGUCUGUAGGCGGUUUAUUAAGUCAACUGUUAAAUCUUGAGGCUCAACCUCAAAAUCGCAGUCGAAACUAUUAGGCUAGAGUAUAGUAGGGGUAAAGGGAAUUUCCAGUGGAGCGGUGAAAUGCGUAGAGAUUGGAAAGAACACCGAUGGCGAAGGCACUUUACUGGGCUAUUACUAACACUCAGAGACGAAAGCUAGGGUAGCAAAUGGG
rnacentral:rRNA from 1 species